CGCGAGCACGCCCUUGCCUUUGUCAGCUAAUUGGCCGGGCUUUCUCAUCUAUUAUGUAAAUAGCCCCGGUCUCUGCGGCGCGGUGUCGUAACGCUCCGCAUUCCUGGGAGCCUGCGCUCCCGGUUCAUGGAAUUGUGCUCCCGGCCCCGGGCGAAAACAGCAGCAACAACAACAACAAAAAGCAGGCGAGCCUUUGGCUGGGCUUUGGGAGGCUCCAGAAGAAAGUGUUCCGGGCAGGAGUUCAGGGCAUGGACAGCGGGAGGAGGAGACAGCGGGAAAAGCUGGAUAAUCCUGGCCUUGCGUCACCUCCCGCGGCCCCACGUGCACAGAACAUUUCCUAAGAUCUUCCAAAGUCUGCUUGGAUGGAUCCAGGGAGAUGAACCUGCUGAGGAGAGGGACCUGAGCCAGCAUUUGGGCAGAAGAAGGGGUAAGUGUUGCGCACGUGGCUGGGAGAGGGAGAGGAUUUGGGAAUGAGAUCCCGAGUCCGUGAUAGUGUCCCUGUGGGAGAUGGAUUGGUCCGGGGGUGUGAGAAAGGAAUAUUUGGAAGUGCGUGGGUGU
rnacentral:lncRNA from 1 species